GGGACCUGGGGGGACAUGGGGGCUUUAGGGGCCAUGGGGACCUUGGAGGGUGUUGGGGACCUAAGGGACAUGGGGACCUUGAGGGACAUUGGCGCCUUGAAGGGACAUUGGGGCCUUGGGAGGUGUUGGGGACUUCGGGGGGGUGUUGGGGACAGGGAUAGGGGGGCGUCGGGGGACAUGGGGACCCCAGGGGGUGUUGGGGACCUGGGGGGACACCGGGGCCUUGAAGGGACAUCGGGACCUUAGGGGACACGGGGACCUGGGGGGACACCGGGACCCCAGAGGGACCCCAGAGUAGGGGAUAUGGGGCGGGUGACGCGGGGACAUUGUGGGGGGGGGGGGGGGGGGGGGGGGGGGGACGGGGGGGGGGGGGGGCCGGGGGGGGGGGGCCCUGGUGACACCCCCGGUGCCACCCCCGGCGCCAGCACCCGCCCGGGGCUGUCGUCCACCGAGGCCACGCGGGAGCUGGCAAAGCUCUGGCACAGCCUCAGCCCCGCCGAACGCCAGCCCUACUGCCUCCACGCGCGGCGCUUCAGCCAGCAGCACAACCGCACGCUGCAUCUGGACAGGGACAACGGGGACAAGAACGGGGACAACAAUGGGGACAACGGGGACCUGCCCCCCCCCCGCGCCCCCCCAAGCCCUGCUGGCCGCCCACGCCGGGGUGCGGGGGGGGGGGCCUCCGUCCGCCUGAUGUCCCCGUCCCUGUCCCCAAAACCCCCCCGGUGACCCGCACCCCGUCCCCGUAACCCCCGUCCCCAUAACCCCCGUCCCCGUAACCCCUGUCCCUGUCCCCUCCCUGGGGACAGUCCCGUUCCCGGAGGUUUUUACCCCAUUAUUUAUUGUCCUGGGCAGAGCUGGCUCUGUCCAGGACGGGGACAGGGACAGCUGGGGGCAGUUUGGGGACAAUUUGGGGACUUUUGGGGACCCCUCGGGGACUUUUUGGGGACCCUUCGGGGACAUUUUGGGGACCCUUUGGGCACUUUUGGGGGACACUUUGGGGCCUUUUUAGAGCCCCUUUGGGGCCUUUUAGGGGACAAUUUGGGGCCUUUUGGGGCCCCUUUGGGGCCGUUGGCGACACUUUGGGGCCUUUUGGGGGACUGUUUGGGGACUUUUAGGAGCCCUUUUGGGGCCUUUUUAUGGUGUUUUUGGGGACCCUUUGGGCCCUUUUUGGGGGCCCUUUGGGGCCCUUUUUGGGGACCCUUCGGGGCCUCUUUUGCGACCCUUCGGGGCCUUUUUAGGGACCUUUCGGGCCCUUUUUAGGGACACUUUGGGGCCUUUUGGGGAUACUUUGGCCCUUGCCGGCCUAGUCGCCGCCAUCUUGUCAUCAGGCAAUAAAACCCUUUUGGUGUCUAUCUGUG
rnacentral:lncRNA from 1 species